CCAGUGAGUCCAACCUGGCUCAAAUCACACUGCCAGUUGGUGCUUAUGUAGCCAGCAAUUCACGGCUAUCACUUCCUUUUCCUUGCAGCUCCAGUGGAGCAGGUACUGUGCAGCGCUGUGCUCCAGCUCUAACCCCAGAGCAGCGUAUGGUAAAGCCAUCAGGGCCAGCGUCCCUUUGAAGAGGGGACCCAAAGAAACACAACAGCUCCGAACACUAUGCCUCGUCUCCCUUUUCCACCAAGAUGUUACACAUGCUGCUCCACUCUACAUCAGGCCCAUUUGGUGGUUGUCCUCUGAGGAAUGUGAAGACUGCAGUGUCCUGAUGUCGUCCUUUGUGCUAACUAAUGUCAUUGUCAUGUCGUGCUGCCACGUGAGGAGGCUUCACAGAGACAC